CUACAGGCAUGCAGUCGUCCCCCCUGCAGGGCCGAGCUGGGGCCAUUCAGGCGGCUGUGGCCCUGGAGCUGAGCAGUGAUGUGGUCACCAGCCUCGAUGUGGCUGUGGAGGGGCUCAACGGGCAGCUGCCCAACCUUGACCUGCUCAAUCUCUUCCAGACCUUCUGCCAGAAAGGGGGCCUGUUGUGCACGCUUCAGGGCAAGGUGGGGCUGCCUGCCUGCCUGAGGGCUGAAGGGUACAGGGUCUGUGGGAGGGGCUGUCUCAUCCUGUCCUGCACCUCUAAAGCUGCAGCCCCAGGACUGGACGUCAUUGGACGGACCACUGCAGGGCCUGCAGACACUGCUGCUCAUGGUUCUGCGGCAGGCCUCUGGCCGUCCCCACGGCUCCCAUGGCCUCUUCCUGCGCUACCGUGUGGAGGCCCUAACCCUGCGUGGCAUCAAUAGCUUCCGCCAGUACAAGUAUGACCUGGUGGCAGUGGGCAAGGCUUUGGAGGGCAUGUUCCGCAAGCUCAACCACCUCCUGGAGCGCCUGCACCAGUCCUUCUUCCUCUACUUGCUCCCCGGCCUCUCCCGCUUCGUCUCCAUCGGCCUCUACAUGCCCGCUGUCGGCUUCUUGCUCCUGGUCCUUGGUCUCAAGAUAUCCUCUGCCCCUUGCCGUCUGCUUGUGACCAGCCUCCAGUCUCCUCAACUCUAGGCUGGGGAGAGUCUUCCAUCCUGAUGGGGGGUGGGGUACGGGGGUGAGCCCUGGGUCCCCCUCUGGGCAGAUCCCGUUACACCUCUUGUUGGGGUCCUUGAUUGGGCUACGCUCUGGAACUGUGGAUGCAGCUGCAUGAGGCCGGAAUGGGCCUUGAGGAGCC
rnacentral:sRNA from 1 species